rnacentral:rRNA from 1 species
UACAGAGGUCCCGAGCGUUGUUCGGAUUCACUGGGCGUAAAGGGUGCGUAGGUGGCGAGGUAAGUCGGAUGUGAAAUCUCCAAGCUUAACUUGGAAAUGGCAUUGGAAACUACCUGGCUAGAGGUUUGGAGGGGGGACUGGAAUGCUUGGUGUAGCAGUGAAAUGCGUAGAUAUCAGGAGGAAUACCGAUGGCGAAGGCAGGUCUCUGGGCUGACACUGACGCUCAUGCACGAAAGCGUGGGGAGCAAACAGG